AAAGCCCUGCCCUGUGCGUGUAUGAAAGUGGUUGGAUUGAACCGUCACUAUGAAACCAGGGUGCCUGAGUCAGAAAGUAGCGUUGCGGCCUUAAAUGGCCUACAGCAAAACCUUCUGCGGGUACCCACUUAAAAACGCGGGUUCUUGGACAAACACUUCUCACGGCAGGGUGGGGCUUUA
rnacentral:other from 2 species